rnacentral:rRNA from 1 species
UACGUAGGGUGCGAGCGUUAAUCGGAAUUACUGGGCGUAAAGCGUGCGCAGGCGGUUUUGUAAGCCAGAUGUGAAAUCCCCGGGCUCAACCUGGGAAUGGCAUUUGGGACUGCAAGGCUGGAGUGCGGCAGAGGAGAACUGGAAUUCCUGGUGUAGCAGUGAAAUGCGUAGAUAUCAGGAGGAAUACCGAUGGCGAAGGCAGGUCUCUGGGCUGACACUGACGCUCAUGCGCGAAAGCGUGGGGAGCAAACAGG